rnacentral:rRNA from 1 species
GACGAACGCUGGCGGCGUGCUUAACACAUGCAAGUCGAACGGAAAGGCCCUGCUUUUUUGGGGUGCUCGAUUGGCGAUCUUGUGAUUAACACGUGUGUAUCCUGCCCUUUACUUUGGUAUAUCUUCAGGAAACUUGUGCUUAUACCCGAUAGGUUCUCCUGCUGCAUGUUUUGUGUUGUAUCGUUUCGGCGGUUGUGGAUGGACUCGCGGCUUAUCAGCUUUUUGGUUGGGUAGUGGCUUACCAAGGCUUUGACGGGUAGCCGGCCUGAGAGGGUGACCGGCAACAUUGGGAAUGAGAUACGGCACAGACGCCGACGGGAGGCAGCAGUGGGGAAUAUUGCAAAAUGGGCGGAAGCCUGAUGCAGCAACGCCGCGUGCGGGAUGACGGCCUUCGGGUUGUAAAACGAUUUCGCAUGUGACGAAGCGUGAGUGACGGUAAUGGGUAAAGAAGCAACGGCUAACUACGUG